rnacentral:lncRNA from 1 species
UUACUUUCCGAUGUUAAGCUCCCAGAUGAUGGCUCAAAUGAAAAAGAUUCUGAUGGGAAGCUAUUGGUCAUAGCCUUGUUUGGAUUAUACUGUGCAUUUCAUUGCAGGGCUCUGUCCUAUUACUCUUGGGUUAAUGCAUUAUUCUUCAACUCUCAGCUCCCACAUGAUGUUUCACUUGCCACCGAUACUAACGGGAGAGUGGGCGCUCAGUAUCCUAUUGUUACAAGCUCUCA